rnacentral:rRNA from 1 species
GACGAACGCUGGCGGCGUGCUUAACACAUGCAAGUCGAACGGAAAGGCCCUGCUUUUGUGGGGUGCUCGAGUGGCGAACGGGUGAGUAACACGUGAGUAACCUGCCCUUGACUUUGGGAUAACUUCAGGAAACUGGGGCUAAUACCGGAUAGGAGCUCCUGCUGCAUGGUGGGGGUUGGAAAGUUUCGGCGGUUGGGGAUGGACUCGCGGCUUAUCAGCUUGUUGGUGGGGUAGUGGCUUACCAAGGCUUUGACGGGUAGCCGGCCUGAGAGGGUGACCGGCCACAUUGGGACUGAGAUACGGCCCAGACUCCUACGGGAGGCAGCAGUGGGGAAUAUUGCACAAUGGGCGGAAGCCUGAUGCAGCAACGCCGCGUGCGGGAUGACGGCCUUCGGGUUGUAAACCGCUUUCGCCUGUGACGAAGCGUGAGUGACGGUAAUGGGUAAAGAAGCACCGGCUAACUACGUGCCAGCAGCCGCGGUGAUACGUAGGGUGCGAGCGUUGUCCGGAUUUAUUGGGCGUAAAGGGCUCGUAGGUGGUUGAUCGCGUCGGAAGUGUAAUCUUGGGGCUUAACCCUGAGCGUGCUUUCGAUACGGGUUGACUUGAGGAAGGUAGGGGAGAAUGGAAUUCCUGGUGGAGCGGUGGAAUGCGCAGAUAUCAGGAGGAACACCAGUGGCGAAGGCGGUUCUCUGGGCCUUUCCUGACGCUGAGGAGCGAAAGCGUGGGGAGCGAACAGGCUUAGAUACCCUGGUAGUCCACGCUGUAAACGGUGGGUACUAGGUGUGGGGUCCAUUCCACGGGUUCCGUGCCGUAGCUAACGCUUUAAGUACCCCGCCUGGGGAGUACGGCCGCAAGGCUAAAACUCAAAGGAAUUGACGGGGCCCCGCACAAGCGGCGGAGCAUGCGGAUUAAUUCGAUGCAACGCGUAGAACCUUACCUGGGUUUGACAUGGAUCGGGAGUGCUCAGAGAUGGGUGUGCCUCUUUUGGGGUCGGUUCACAGGUGGUGCAUGCCUGUCGUCAGCUCGUGUCGUGAGAUGUUGGGUUAAGUCCCGCAACGAGCGCAACCCUUGUUCACUGUUGCCAGCACGUUAUGGUGGGGACUCAGUGGAGACCGCCGGGGUCAACUCGGAGGAAGGUGGGGAUGACGUCAAGUCAUCAUGCCCCUUAUGUCCAGGGCUUCACGCAUGCUACAAUGGCUGGUACAGAGAGUGGCGAGCCUGUGAGGGUGAGCGAAUCUCGGGAAGCCGGUCUCAGUUCGGAUUGGGGUCUGCAACUCGACCUCAUGAAGUCGGAGUCGCUAGUAAUCGCAGAUCAGCAACGCUGCGGUGAAUAAGUUCCCGGGGCU